rnacentral:rRNA from 1 species
UACGAAGGGUGCUAGCGUUGUUCGGAAUCACUGGGCGUAAAGCGCGCGUAGGCGGCGUAACAAGUCAGAGGUGAAAGCCCAGGGCUCAACCCUGGAAUUGCCUUUGAAACUGUUAUGCUAGAGUGUCGGAGGGGAUAGCGGAAUUGCUAAUGUAGAGGUGAAAUUCGUAGAUAUUAGCAGGAACACCGGUGGCGAAGGCGGCUAUCUGGACGACAACUGACGCUGAGGCGCGAAAGAGUGGGGAUCAAACAGG